GAGGGUAUAGCUCAAGUGAUAGAGUGCUUGCUUAGCAUGCAUGAGGUCCUGGGUUCUAUCUCCAGUAGCUCCU
rfam:Camelus ferus unplaced genomic scaffold scaffold1815, whole genome shotgun sequence.